UGUGUUCCCUAUCCUCCUUAUGUCCCACCCCCACUCCUGUUUGAAUAUUUCACCAGAAACAGGAGUGGGGGGUGGGACGUAAGGAGGAUGGGGGAAAGAACA
ensembl:miRNA MIR4433B microRNA 4433b